rnacentral:rRNA from 1 species
UACAGAGGUCUCAAGCGUUGUUCGGAUUCAUUGGGCGUAAAGCGUGUGUAGGCGGAUCGUUAAGUACCUUGUGAAAUCCCACGGCUCAACCGUGGAACUGCUGGGUAUACUGGCGAUCUUGAGCCACCUAGGGGCGAGCGGAACAAGCGGUGGAGCGGUGAAGUGCGUAGAUAUCGCUUGGAACGCCAAUGGUGAAAACAGCUCGCUGGGGGUGUGCUGACGCUGAGACACGAAAGCCAGGGGAGCGAACGGG